rnacentral:rRNA from 1 species
GAUGAACGCUGGCGGCGUGCCUAAUACAUGCAAGUCGAGCGAACGGACGAGAAGCUUGCUUCUCUGAUGUUAGCGGCGGACGGGUGAGUAACACGUGUAUAACCUACCUAUAAGACUGGGAUAACUUCGGGAAACCGGAGCUAAUACCGGAUAAUAUUUUGAACCGCAUGGUUCAAAAGUGAAAGACGGUCUUGCUGUCACUUAUAGAUGGAUCCGCGCUGCAUUAGCUAGUUGGUAAGGUAACGGCUUACCAAGGCAACGAUGCAUAGCCGACCUGAGAGGGUGAUCGGCCACACUGGAACUGAGACACGGUCCAGACUCCUACGGGAGGCAGCAGUAGGGAAUCGUCCGCAAUGGGCGAAAGCCUGACGGAGCAACGCCGCGUGAGUGAUGAAGGUCUUCGGAUCGUAAAACUCUGUUAUUAGGGAAGAACAUAUGUGUAAGUAACUGUGCACAUCUUGACGGUACCUAAUCAGAAAGCCACGGCUAACUACGUG